rnacentral:rRNA from 1 species
CUACGUGCCAGCAGCCGCGGUAAUACGGAAGGUCCAGGCGUUAUCCGGAUUUAUUGGGUUUAAAGGGAGCGUAGGCUGGAGAUUAAGUGUGUUGUGAAAUGUAGACGCUCAACGUCUGAAUUGCAGCGCAUACUGGUUUCCUUGAGUACGCACAACGUUGGCGGAAUUCGUCGUGUAGCGGUGAAAUGCUUAGAUAUGACGAAGAACUCCGAUUGCGAAGGCAGCUGACGGGAGCGCAACUGACGCUUAAGCUCGAAGGUGCGGGUAUCAAACAGGAUUAGAUACCCUGGUAGUCCACGCGGUAAACGAUGGAUGCUCGUUGUCGGCCUUUGUGGCCGGUGACCAAGCGAAAGCGUUAAGCAUCCCACCUGGGGAGUACGCCGGCAACGGUGAAACUCAAAGGAAUUGACGGGGGCCCGCACAAGCGGAGGAACAUGUGGUUUAAUUCGAUGAUACGCGAGGAACCUUACCAGGUCUUGACAUCCCUCUGACCGCUCUAGAGAUAGAGUUUUC